rnacentral:rRNA from 1 species
UGGUGGAGUGAUUUGUCUGGUUAAUUCCGUUAACGAACGAGACCUCAGCCUGCUAAAUAGUGAACAUUAUCUACCGAUAGUGGAACACUUCUUAGAGGGACAUUUCGGGUUUUACCGGAAGGAAGUUUGAGGCAAUAACA